rnacentral:lncRNA from 1 species
GCACGCGCGCUACGUCCCUCAGACUGGCUGCCCCCGAGGGUUCGCGUGAGCGGAGCACGGGGCUCGGGGUGCGGGGGGCUGGUGUGAUGGACGCAUUUGUUCUUCGGUCCCUGACGAUUGUUUCUCAUUUGCCCUCCAAGCCCCAAAUCCUGUCAGUCCACGGCCUUGAUGGAGCGGCCCCCGUGGGACGACCCUGUUGAUUGUGCUAGCGGAUGUUGUCUCCAUUCUGGAUCUGGGAAAAACUGUGGAGUGAAAGCCGGACCUGUUAGGGUUGGGACCUGAAAGCGGACUUUUUCGCUCUCAGACGGGCCCCAGGAAUUUCAUGUUUAACAGAGGUGUCUUCAAGGAGAUGAAACAAUUCAGAAUGACCUAGGCAAUGGGGUAAUUCCUAAGGAACAAGCUAUUCAUUCAUACAGCAUGGACGAAUAUUAAAUGCAUGUUGCUGAGUGAAAGAAGCCAGAAUGAUAAGGCUACAUCCUGGAAAAGUUUAUAUUCUGGAAAAGGCAAAACUUAUAGAGACAGAAACAAAUCAGCCAGUUGUUGCUGGGGUUUGGGAGAGAAGAAUGUUGACUAUGUGAAGAACAAGGGAUCUUGGGGGGCAUCUAUUCCAUAUGCUACUGUAGGGGUGGAUGCAUGAUACUAUCAUUUGUGGAAAACCAUAGAACUUUACAAAACUAACAGUGAACCUUAAUGUCUGCAAAAUUUUACAAAAUCAACUAGGAGGCUGGGGGAUCCCAGGAUGAAAUACAGGCAAUGACAAAAGAGCCUAACUCUAUUACACAUUUAUAACAUAACCGCACCGAAGAGGACUGGUAUUCUAUAACUGUGGAAAUAAUGGAAACUGGAAAACUGAAGACAAAAGGAACUGUACUUAGCACUAUACUCUAGUUGGUAAAGGCGUUUCUCAAGGGGUACCAGUUAACAAUUCUGAGACUGCUGUACAUGUAUGCAGAGACUGAACAAAUAAGUAAAUGGCUGGUACAUGCUCACUCUCAGGGAGGGAGGCCACAGAUAAACAAGAGGAAGAGGCUCUAAUGUCAUGUGUGGUUGUGGAUUAGAACCAGAAACAUAAAUAUGAACUCAUGUUUAGAUUAAUAUAGAUAUUAAUGGAUUGAUAUAGAAAUAAUGAUGAUAUGGGUAUAUAUACAGGUUAGUAUACAGUCAUAUAUUUCUUAUCCCUAUCCACUGAGAGGGCCUAGAAACAACAAUACUCCAGUAGCAACACACACAUCUCGUGCCCAUAUCUUGAUUUCUUUUGCCAUUUCCUAACAAAAGGAGCCAGGACUUCUUGGAGAAAUGGCUGAUUCUAAGACUGGGUCAGAGAGUAUACCAGAUGACGCUGGCACAUCUUCUACUGCUAGAAAGUAAGGAAAUGCUCAAAAAAUAAAACCACGGAGAUAUUUCAAAGGAACACAGAAGCCAAGUGGAACAGCUCCCAGUGGCCAAAGCUGGAAAAAUUGGGGCAAAAAAAAAAAAAAAAGUAUUAGGUUAUAAUCCAAAAUAUAAAAUAAAUAAUCACCAGCCCGUACUAAUGUGCAUAAAUUAUUGAAUAAAUAAGUAAAUGGGUGAAAAGAGAAAACUCUCUCCCAUACAAAGGAAGCCCAAAUAAUUUAUGUAGAUGAUCGCCCUGCAAUGAGGCAGAGGGCAACUCCCUACCCUGUGUUAAGUGUGGAUGGCACUUAGAGACUUGCUUCUGAAGAGCGCAAUACGGAAAGGAGGGGAGAAGUAACUUGGCAAUGAAGAAACCUGACAAACACCAUCUUCUCCAGGCAGCCAAGGUUAACACCAUCAGUGAUAAGUUACGUUGAUAGCCUGUAUUUUUGAUAUGAUGUGUUGAGAAUGUACUUAGUUUCUGUGGUCUUCUUCCCAAACACCUGACACCAGGCUCACCAGGAGAAAAUGAAUCCAAAUUAAGGGACAUUCUACAGAAUACCUGACCAACACUCCCUCCUAAAAACUGUCAAGGUCAUCAAGGAAUGUCUAGGAAGAAGGAAAGUCUGAGAAGUUGUCUCAGCCCAGAGGAGCCUUAAGAAGCCAUGACAGACAGGGUCUCCAUCUGCCUCCCAG